AUGUUGGCAGUCUUGACAGUAUUGACAUUGGAUAGGAGCCAUUUGAGUUGCCUAUUCAACUUCUACCAACAAAUGUAUGGGGAUGAAGUUCUUCUUCUCCAACUUCAAGUACGUGACCAAACGGGAGGGGUGGCAAAAGACGACAUGGUCAAUACAUACAGCAUAUCCGCUCAAAUGACGAACACAUAUAGGGCUCCGGCACCCACCUUUGGAUCCUCCUUCUCUGGCUCGAGCAACAAUAUGGACGGAUCCAUGCGGCGCCGGAAGGCGAAAAGGGUGGGAACCAGGAUGGAGGGCAGCGGCUAUCGGCUGAAGAGGCUGGGAUGCACGGGCUUUGGCGCGGAAACAAUGCGGUUAUGCGGAUGUGGACAAAUGUGCGAGCUCCGCGUGGGGUUUUGGGUGGGCUGGACUUGUGAGAGUCCUACGAAACAGAGGUCGGACUCAUGCAAACCUUCCCAAUCUUUUUAUCCGAUUUGCAGGUGUUUGGACACGCGGACGCGUCUACGCCACCUAAAUGUUUGCAGGCGUUUUACGUUAUUAUAG
rnacentral:rRNA from 1 species